rnacentral:rRNA from 1 species
GACGAACGCUGGCGGCGUGCUUAACACAUGCAAGUCGAACGGAGAGGCCCUGCUUUUGUGGGGUGCUCGAGUGGCGAACGGGUGAGUAACACGUGAGUAACCUGCCCUUGACUUUGGGAUAACUUCAGGAAACUGGGGCUAAUACCGGAUAGGAGCUCCUGCUGCCUGGUGGGGGUUGGAAAGUUUCGGCGGUUGGGGAUGGACUCGCGGCUUAUCAGCUUGUUGGUGGGGUAGUGGCUUACCAAGGCUUUGACGGGUAGCCGGCCUGAGAGGGUGACCGGCCACAUUGGGACUGAGAUACGGCCCAGACUCCUACGGGAGGCAGCAGUGGGGAAUAUUGCACAAUGGGCGGAAGCCUGAUGCAGCAACGCCGCGUGCGGGAUGACGGCCUUCGGGUUGUAAACCGCUUUCGCCUGUGACGAAGCGUGAGUGACGGUAAUGGGUAAAGAAGCACCGGCUAACUACGUG